GCCGGGGUGCGAGUCCCCGCCUCGCAGAAAUGAAAAAUGCCUUAUUAUCGGUGGAUGCCUUAUUAUCGGGGAGGUCUUAUUAUCGGGGGGAUGCCUUAUAUUACAACGAGAGGCAAAACUGCAUCCAACAAGAAGGAGCACUAUCAAAGAAGAAAGGAUAUCUAAAGCAUUGACAUAAUAAUUCUUGGUUAUAUAUGAGUCAGUGCACAUCUGGCAACGUGGACUCAGUAAAUUAAUUUGGACAUGCAUCAACAGACAGUAAUCAAGUUUUAUGUCAGCCAACAAAGAAAAAUAGAAUGGCAGGCUUACAGCACUAAAGCUGCAUUACAUUGAACUGCUAACGCUUUAUCAGCUAUAGAACUUAAUUCACUAAUCAAGAGUCCACAUAUACUGCAAACAGAUCACCAUCAAACCUCAGAAAUGGGUGCCUCGUUAACUGGAAUUAUAGCUCUGUAUCUUGAGUGAUGUUUCUGUUCUGUCCAGGCUUAAUGAUAUUUCUGUAUUGCACAGAUGAAAAAGUACUCACAUAAAAUUUCAUUUGCCAAGAGGCAAUUAUCUAAACUAGUUGCUAUAAAAAGCUGCACUAUAUUUGCUAUAUUUCUGGCAUACACAUUUACAUUCAUAAUCAGAGUUGUUGGCUGCAAAGCCCUGGAAAC